AGGCGUGUGAAAUCGUGGACUAAGUGAAAUAUUUAUUAGCCCCGGCACAUCGCAAGUCACGCGUUCGGGGCACGCGAUUAAAAUGGAAUUACGACGAGAAGAGCAGCUACGUGAAAGGUUACACGAGUGGUGGGAGUGGCAUGUAAUUUAAUCGAAUUUAUAAGCACCUAUAAAGUCGCAGAAACAAUCGAGGAUAUGCCAGGGAGUGGGACAAUCAGAAUGGAGGAGCAAGGACGAAGGAUGCAGCUGGAGCAGCUACAUCAAUGCCAAGCGUUAAUCGAUUAUGCUUACAUAAUUGCAUUUUUCCCAUCUCAGCAGUUGUGAAUCGCAACAAAAAGCAGAUCGAGCCAUAAUCGAAUCAGCAAUAGAUUCUGCCAUAUCAAGUUAUUCUACACUCUUACUAAUUAAAAAAAAGAAUAAGGUCCUAAGUUACAAAAAUGGGAGACUCAAUAACAAUAUAAGAAUUCUAGAUUGAUUUCCAUAUGAA
rnacentral:sRNA from 1 species